UACGGAGGAUGCGAGCGUUAUCCGGAUUUAUUGGGUUUAGAGGGUGCGCAGGCGGCACGGCAAGCCGGCGGUCAAAUCGCGGGGCUCAACCCCGCCCAGCCGUCGGAACUGCCGGGCUAGAGUGGGCGAGAAGUGCGCGGAAUGCGUGGUGUAGCGGUGAAAUGCAUAGAUAUCACGCAGAACUCCGAUUGCGAAGGCAGCGCACCGGCGUCCUACUGACGCUCAGGCACGAAAGCGUGGGUAUCGAACAGG
rnacentral:rRNA from 1 species